rnacentral:rRNA from 1 species
UACGUAGGGUGCAAGCGCUGUCCGGAAUUAUUGGGCGUAAAGAGCUCGUAGGCGGUCUGUCGCGUCUGCUGUGAAAACUCAGGGCUUAACCCUGAGCUUGCAGUGGGUACGGGCAGACUAGAGUGCGGUAGGGGAGACUGGAAUUCCUGGUGUAGCGGUGAAAUGCGCAGAUAUCAGGAGGAACACCGGUGGCGAAGGCGGGUCUCUGGGCCGAUACUGACGCUGGAGGAGCGAAAGCGUGGGGAGCGAACAGG